rnacentral:rRNA from 1 species
CUAGUCUUAUCGGUGGAUCACUCGGCUCGUAGGUCGAUGAAGAACGCAGCUAACUGCGAUAAAUAGUGCGAACUGCAGAAACAUUGAGCACAAAACAUUCGAAUGCACAUUGCGCCAUUGGAGUCUCUUCCUUUGGCACGCCUUGUUCAGGGUCGUC